CCGCACCCGCUCCCGCUCUUCCUCUUCUUCCUCUUCCUGCAACCCCACCCGCUCAAAACCCCGCGCUUUCUUAAAGCCUUCCUAGUUCUUUUCCCCAAUUCGAAACACAAACCCUAAUUCAAUGUUUUAUUGUCUUCUUCAAUCGCACCCGUCAAUCCGCAUUACUUCACCGAUCCCUCUCAUCCACCUCUCCCUUUCUUUCUUUUGUGAAAUCGCCUCUUCCACCAUUCAGGGCUUGGCUUUCUUUAGCCUUCCAAUCUCUCUCUCAAUUUCCUCCGUCGUCCCCCAAAACCUAGUUCUCCAUCAGAAGGCAGGAAGAGACGUUGAGCCCAGAAGAGGUUCUAUGCCGAAUCAGUGGCUGCAGUUCUGGACGCGGCUGCGAGGGAGUUCGCGGGGGACAGAGGACAUGAUUAGCAGGGGCAGAAGCUUUUCGAGCCUGACAAGUGGGAGAGGUUCUACCUACUUGUGUAACCGCCGAGCUUUCCUUAGAGGCAUGGAGAAUCCAAGAAUGGUUUUUUAUUUCUUUGACAUCGACGGUAAUCAAGGGGGAUGCAAGCGUUACACAGGUGGUGGGCCAUGAGUUCGCUCAUAGCUGGACUGGGAAUGUGAUCACUAACAUGGCCAAUGAAGAUUUCUGGUUGAACGAGUUAUAUUUGAUCAGAUAGAACAGAGUAACAGAGUGUAGUGUUUCAUGGAGGAAUUGAGAAAGAAUAUGACUAAAGGUGGAAUCACUUCACCUACUACUUAAACUAUAUAUAAGACUAACUUUAAUACUAAUUUUUGGCCCUUUGUUAGGGAAAUAUAUAGCGUCACUCCAGAGAAUGCCACCAUUAGAGAGAUACCUAUGCUGGGUCAGCUCUGUUUGCCAAAAUUUCAGUUACAAAUUCGAGCAAGUAUCUCUCUUGGUUUCCAUGCAUGGUGUCAGUCCUCUGGCGAAAUUUGGAAUCCGAUGAUGUUUUUCUGGUAGGCCUUAUAUUCUUUCAUUCUUUUGGGGUUGCAGCCUCUUCUUUCAUCAUCUUUCUCUUUACAUAGAAAUCCGGAUACCAAGGUUUCUGAAAAGUUAUUCAGAUUUCUUACCGUUCA